CCGGCGGGGCGGACACCCGGGCACACGCCUGCCCGGACAGCGGCACGGACACGCGGACACACAGCAGGACAGACACGUGGGCGUGCACUGGGACGGACAUGCAGACACGCACUGGGACAGACACACGGACACACACCGGGACAGACCCGUGGACACACACUGGGACGGGCACUGGGACGGACGUGCAGACAGGCACUGGGACAGACACACGGACACACACCGGGACAGACCCGUGGACACACACUGGGACGGGCACUGGGACGGACGUGCAGACAGGCACUGGGACAGACACACGGACACACACCGGGACAGACCCGUGGACACACACUGGGACGGACACUGGGACGGACAUGCAGACAGGCACUGGGACAGACGCACGGACACACACCGGGACAGACGUGUGGACACGCACUGGGACUGACACUGGGACAGACAUGCAGACAUGCACUGGGACGGACACAUGGACACACACCAGGAUGGACACACAGACAUGCACUGGGACGGACACAUGAACACAUACCGGGACAGACAUGCAGACACGCACUGGGACAGACACUGGGAUAGACACCAGGACACAUUGUAGGACAGACUCCGGGAUGGGUCCUGGGACAGACACACAGACAGAAACAUGGACACUCACCUGUGCAGACACACGAGCAGACAGUGGGACACGUUGCAGGACAGACACCGGGACAGACCUUGGGAUGGACACAGGGGUGCACCCUGAGACAGACACACAGACAGAAAUAUGGACAGACACACAGACACACACCAGGACAGACACUGGGACAGGCAUGCAGAUAGACUCCCGAACAGACACAGGGACACAUGGGCACACCCACAGAGAGACACCAGGACCCAGGGACAGGUACAUGGACACAGGGGCAGACACAUGGACAGACACCGGAACAGAUAGACGGACACAGGCACGCACAGAGACAUAGGUGUGCUCACAGGCGGAGAAACACAUCAGGACAGACAGACGGACACACACACGGACACACACACCAGAACGACACCAGGACAGACACCAGGAGAGACAAACAGAUACACCUGGACUCACACAUAGAGAGACACAGCGAGACAAACACAGGGGCAGACACACCGACACACGGACAGACACACAGAUGCGGGCAGACGGACACAUAAGCGCAUGGACAGAUGAGACACAUCACAACAGACAGACUGACACACAGAGACAGACAGACGUGGGGACACAGGGACCCACAGAUGCACGCUGAGGCAUCGACAGCGGGACUCGCAAGGGCAGACGCACAAGCGCUGGGACAGCCAGACACAC